AUUUCUAUAGUCAAAUUAUGACAGUAGCUUUUCACGCUACAAAUUUGAGUGAAAACCUCAAUAGAAAUU
rnacentral:tRNA from 1 species